UACGAAGGGGGGCUAGCGUUGCUCGGAAUCACUGGGCGUAAAGGGCGCGUAGGCGGAUCUUUAAGUCGGGGGUGAAAGCCUGAGGCUCAACCUCAGAAUUGCCUUCGAUACUGGAGAUCUUGAGACCGGAAGAGGUAAGUGGAACUGCGAGUGUAGAGGUGAAAUUCGUAGAUAUUCGCAAGAACACCAGUGGCGAAGGCGGCUUACUGGUCCGGUUCUGACGCUGAGGCGCGAAAAGCGUGGGGGAGCAAACAGGG
rnacentral:rRNA from 1 species